CUAACCCAAGAAGGCGAUUGUGAUGAAAGGUCUUCUUCGUCGUAUAUCAGUGUGGCCAGGGGUUUAUAAUUUACAGUAGUCGUAAAGAAACGCCGGCUAACUCCGUGCCAAACAGCCGGGGGGUACGAAGGUUAAAGCGGGGCGCAUAAGGAAUUAAUGGGUGUGAAGGUUACGUAGGCGGAUCAGAAAGUUGGGGGUGAAAUCCCAGGGCUCAACCCUGGAACUGCCUCCUAAACUAGUGGUCGGGGGUUCGAGAGAGGUGAGUGGAAUUGAAAGUGUAGAGGUGAAAUUCGUAGAUAUUUGGAGGAACACCAGUGGCGAAGGCGGCUCACUGGCUGGAUACUGACGCUGGGGUACGAAAGUGUGGGGUGCAAACAGGAUUAGAUACCUUGGUAGUCCACACCGUAAACGAUGAAUUCCAGUCGUCGGGCAGCAUACUGUUUUCUUACCCACCUCACGGCUUGAGCAUUCCGCCUGGGGCCUCCGGCCCCUUUAUUCCACCUCAAAUGACCCGACGGAAGGGGGAAUUGGCGGCCGCCAAAUUCAAUCGCCCUAUAGGAGUA
rnacentral:rRNA from 1 species